UACGUAGGGUGCGAGCGUUGCCCGGAUUUAUUGGGCGUAAAGGGCGCGUAGGCGGCUCGGCACGUCCGUUGUGAAAUCGCUCGGCUCAACUGGGCGAGGUCAGCGGAUACGGUCGAGCUUGAGCAAGCUAGGGGGCAAUGGAAUUCCCGGUGUAGUGGUGGAAUGCGUAGAUAUCGGGAGGAACACCAGUGGCGAAGGCGGUUGCCUGGGGCUGUGCUGACGCUGAUGCGCGAAAGCGUGGGGAGCGAUCCGG
rnacentral:rRNA from 1 species